rnacentral:siRNA from 1 species
UGUUAAUGUAGCUAAAUGGUUGAG